GUGUUUGCUUCGGCAGCACAUACACUAAAAUUGGAACGAUACAGAGAAGGUUAGCUUGGCUCCUGAGCAAGGCUGACACGCAAAUUCGUGAAGCAGUCCACAUUAAA
ensembl:snRNA U6 U6 spliceosomal RNA